AUUACAUAGGUAUGCCAU
rnacentral:snRNA from 1 species